CAGUAGCCGCGGUAAUACAGAGGGUGCGAGCGUUAAUCGGAUUUACUGGGCGUAAAGCGUGCGUAGGCGGCUUCUUAAGUCGGAUGUGAAAUCCCUGAGCUUAACUUAGGAAUUGCAUUCGAUACUGGGAAGCUAGAGUAUGGGAGAGGAUGGUAGAAUUCCAGGUGUAGCGGUGAAAUGCGUAGAGAUCUGGAGGAAUACCGAUGGCGAAGGCAGCCAUCUGGCCUAAUACUGACGCUGAGGUACGAAAGCAUGGGGAGCAAACAGGAUUAGAUACCCCGGUAGUCCCUGUCUCUUAUCC
rnacentral:rRNA from 1 species